CUCCCAUCCUCUCCUUGCGGCCCUGCAGUUUGCGUACCCGUUUUGGUGAAGGGGAUUACCACACACCGGAUCCCUCCACCCCACUCUCAUGCUACUGCUCUGCUCUGCCCGCGCGCCCUCGUCUCUCGGUGUCCGAGCUUCACCCCUACUCCUCGAUCGCCGGCAUGGUGCCCGGGUUACGACGCGGCUAGCCGUCUACUGCUGCAGAUAGAAUCCCGCCAGAAUUAUCGACAGAUCAAGCAGGGAGGCCGCGGGUCCGGUGAGAGUGGCGACGGAUCCAGCUGCAACCGCACUGCUCCGAGUUGCAACUGGUGAAGAAAUUCCAGAGCCCGCUAGGCUAGGGUCUAGACUUGGCGCAAACUUUCCUGUUCGAUCACUGGCCGUGCAUUCGAGCUUUUAGGCCAUGGAGGCGGCUCUGGUGACUGUGGCCACGGGGGUCCUCAAACCUGUCCUGGGGAAGCUGGCCACCCUGCUCGGCGACGAGUACAAGCGUUUUAAGGGUGUGCGCAAGGAGAUCAGGUCUCUCACUCAUGAACUCGCCGCCAUGGAGGCUUUUCUCCUCAAGAUGUCGGAGGAGGAGGAGGAUCUCAAUGUGCAGGAUAAAGUUUGGAUGAAUGAGGUGCGGGAAUUGUCCUAUGACAUGGAGGAUGCCAUCGAUGACUUUAUGCAAAGCGUUGGUGACAAAGAAGAAAAGCCGGAUGGCUUCAUUGACAAGAUCAAGAGCUCGCUAGGAAAGUUGGGAAAUAUGAAGGCUCGUCAUCGAAUUGGCAAGGAGAUACAGGAUCUGAAGAAACAGAUCAUUGAGGUGGGCGACAGGAAUGCAAGGUACAAGGGACGUGAGAUCUUCUCCAAGGCCGUUAAUGUGACCGUUGACCCUAGAGCUCUUGCUAUCUUUGAGCAUGCCUCAAAGCUCGUCGGAAUUGAUGAGCCCAAGGCUGAGCUGAUCAAGUUGUUAACUGACGAGGAUGGAGUUGCAUCAACACAACAACAAGUGAAGAUGGUCUCCAUUGUUGGAUCGGGAGGAAUGGGCAAAACAACUCUUGCAAACCAAGUGUAUCAAGAGCUGAAAGAGAAAUUCAAGUGUAAGGCUUUCAUUUCAGUGUCACGAAAUCCAGAUAUGACAAAUAUCUUGAGAACCCUCCUUAGUGAAGUUGGGUGUCAAGAUUAUGCUGACACUGAAGCAGGGAGCAUACAACAACUAAUAAGAAAGAUUACCGACUACCUAGCAGAAAAAAGGUAUAUUAUAGUGAUUGACGACAUAUGGGAUGUUAAAACAUGGAACGUUAUUAAGUGCGCAUUCCCCAUGACCAGAUGCAGUGGUGUAAUAAUCACCACUACACGGCUGAGUGAUGUUGCAUGUUCGUGUCAUUCAUCAACCGGUGGCUAUAUUUAUAAUAUAAGGCCUCUUAAUGUGGAGCACUCAAGACAACUAUUCCACAGAAGAUUAUUCAGCUCCGAAGAAGAUUGCCCUUCAUCACUCGUGAAAGUUUCUAAUCAAAUCUUGGAAAAAUGUGAUGGGUUGCCUUUGGCAAUCAUUGCUAUAGCUGGUUUGUUGGCUAACACAGGAAGAUCAGAGCAUCUAUGGAACCAAGUGAAAGAUUCAAUUGGUCGUGCACUUGAAAGGAAUCCUAAUGUCGAAGUAAUGAUAAAGAUAUUGUCACUUAGUUACUUUGAUCUUCCUCCUCAUCUAAAAACAUGUCUCUUGUAUCUCAGUAUAUUUCCGGAAGAUUCUAUUAUUGAGAAGAAAACACUAAUAUCAAGAUGGAUUGCCGAAGGAUUCGUUCACAAAGAAGGUAGAUAUACAGCAUAUGAGGUAGGAGUGAGGUGUUUUAAUGAGCUCGUCAAUAGGAGUUUGAUCCAACCUGUGAAGGAAGACAAUUAUAUGGGGAAGAGUUGUCGAGUUCACGAUAUAAUUCUUGAUUUCAUAGUAUCCAAAUCCAUUGAAGAGAACUUUGUUACUUUUGUUGGUGUCCCCAGUUUAACUACCAUGACACAAGGCAAAGUCCGCCGUCUCUCCAUUCAAGUUGAAGGGAAAGAGGAUUCUAUUUUGCCAAUGAGCCUGAUAUUGUCUCAUGUCCGAUCAUUUAAUUUGUUCUUGAGUACGGUGAAUAUCCAUUCGAUGAUGGAGUUCCGGCAUUUGCGAGUUGUGGACUUUAAUGGCAGUCGAUUGGAAAACCACCAUCUUGUGAAUGUAGGGAGGCUGUUUCAGCUAAGGUACCUCAGCAUUAGCAUGACAGAAGUAAGCGCGCUCCCGGAACAAAUCGGACACCUACAAUGCUUAGAGAUGUUGGACAUCAGGUAUACAAAGGUGUCCGAGUUGCCAGCCAGUAUUGUCAAUCUCGGUAAAUUGGCACACUUACUUCUUGGCUCAAAAGACACAUGUGUUAAGUUUCCCGAUGGAAUUGCGAAGAUGCAAGCACUAGAGACUUUGGAUCAGGUUGACGCAUGCAAGCAGUCAUAUAACUUUCUGCAAGGGCUUGGUCGGCUAAAGAAUCUGAGGAAGCUGCACAUUGAUUAUCAUGAUGUUGCCCAGGAAGACAAGGAAGUUAUUGCUUCUUCUCUCGGUAAACUAUGCACACAAAACCUUUGUUCUCUAACUAUGUGGGGGAAUGAUGAUGACGACUUCUUGCUGAAUACAUGGUGCACUUCUCCGCCGCCUAACCUCCGAAAACUUGUCAUAUGGGGUUGUCUAUUCCCAAAGGUUCCGCAUAGGGUAGGAUCACUCGUCAACCUACAGAAGUUACACUUGCAUGUGGUGAGAGGAAUCCGGCAUGAAGAUAUCUGCAUCCUUGGAGCCUUACCCGCUCUGCUCACUCUGGGUCUAAACGCAAGGGAAAAACAACCUUCUUGUGAAGAUAGAAGGCUGGCAGUUAGUGGUGAAGCUGGGUUCCGAUGCCUGAGGAAGUUUAAUUACUGGAGGCGGGGAGAUUGGAUGGAUCUUAUGUUUACGGCAAAAUGUAUGCCCAAGCUAGAAAAACUGAAGAUUAUAUUUUACCGGCAUGCCGAAGAUGAGGCUCCCAUCAUUCCUGCUUUCGAUUUCGGGAUGGAAAACCUCUCCAGCCUCACUACUUUCGAAUGUCGCCUAGGUCAUGGGCCUAUGACAAAAAGAUCUGCUGACGCCGUGAAGGAUUCUCUGGACAGAGUAGUCACCGCACAUCCCAACCAACUUACUCUAAUCUUCAUUUAUUGUUGUAUUUUUAAGAGAGAUGGCUGUAGUGGUCAGUGCCUUCUGUCUAAAAAUCUUCAGUCAUCCUCGGAAUCUACUUGAGUAGAGUCAAGACCGUACCAUGAUUGCUACAAGCGGUCUCAAGACUAAUCAGUUCACUGCUGACGAAUGCGCUCAGGUUCUUCUCAAGUCCUGCGGCGCUUCAUGAAGAUGAUUAUUUCACUGAUGUGUUUGGAACUUUGGAUGCUCUUUUUGGUGUUACCGAUUGAUCAUUUGCAGUGCUUCAUGAAGAUGAUUAUUUCUGUCCUCCGUGUUCUGGCUGAUGUGUUUGGAUGCUCUCUUUCACUGAAGAUGAAGAUGAUGCUGAUGGUGUUAGGCAUCGAAAUCGCUGAAAUCUGAUCGACCUCCGAGAUCGGCCAAGGGAUCCCUGUCAGGCCCUCGGCUGUGACAGCUGACAGGCAUCAUCAUCAACCAGCAGUGCUGGGCCAGACGACGAGCAAGGCCCACAGCCCGGACGACGAUCUGUGUGGGGAUGAGAGCCCAGCCCAUGUAAUUGCUACUUUAGAUCGGGAGACUGGGAAGGGGAGCAGUGCUGGGCAAUUUUUUGGAAACAUUUCCUCCUUCUGUUCCUCUUCUUCCCCACCUACUACCAGCUCUUAAGCGCUACUACUCUUAUUUCUAAUUGUAAGGGUUUCUGUUUCUGAAUGACGAGCAAUUGCCCGGUCGAUCGUCAUGCGCUGUGGAGGUGAAGUCUCAAAAGAUUUGGGGUGGUGCUUACACGAGUUGGUGCUUACACUGUUGUUUCAGUUGACAGCGUACAAUUAAGUCAAACCAUGACCCCGGCUGCAUAAUCCAGGAAUUCGGUGACAGACGUUGGUUGCG